AGAGUUUGAUCCUGGCUCAGAAUCAACGCUGGCGGCGUGCCUAACACAUGCAAGUCGAACGAGAAAGUGGAGCAAUCCAUGAGUAAAGUGGCGACCGGGUGAGUAACACGUGACUAACCUACCUCCGAGUGGGGAAUAACUCCGGGAACGGCGAAUACCGCAUAACAUCGCAAGAUCAAAGCAGCAAUGCGACUUGGAGA
rnacentral:rRNA from 1 species